UACGGGGGGAGCAAGCGUUGUUCGGAUUUACUGGGCGUAAAGGGCGCGUAGGCGGCCACCGCAAGUCAAUUGUGAAAUCUCCGGGCUUAACCCGGAAAGGUCAACUGAUACUGCGGGGCUAGAGUGCGGAAGGGGCAACUGGAAUUCUCGGUGUAGCGGUGAAAUGCGCAGAUAUCAGGAGGAACACCCGUGGCGAAAGCGGCUCUCUGGGACGGUACUGACGCUGAGACGCGAAAGCGUGGGGAGCAAACAGG
rnacentral:rRNA from 1 species